rnacentral:rRNA from 1 species
GGGGUCUUUACCGAGGUUUAAACUCCCAAAC